AUGACCACCUGAUUGGGAGCUGCUUUCAUGUUAUUCUGGCUCAUCCCCUCGAGCUGGGUGCAGGGUAUGUAUAAAAGGCCUCGGAUCAUACAGUCUCCUCACUCCAUCAGACACACUAUUGCUUGCCCAAGGUUUGAAGAACAAGAGCAACUGAGCAUUCUCCAAGAUGUUCUGCCAGCAAAACCAGCAGAAAUGCCAGCUCCCCGCCAAGUGUCGCCCCAAAUACCCACCCAAGUGCCCCCCUCAGGCCCCGGGUCCCCACCCUGCUCCUGCCCCCUCCUGCUGUGUCCCCAGGUGCUGUGUUUCUGGCUUCAGAAGCAGCUGCUCUCUGGUGUCCCACCGAUUUCCGAGAGUCUGCCUCGACCUGGCCCAGCCUUCCAUCUGCUGUGAGAGGGAGCCCUCCGCAUGUUCCUGCAGUUGCCAUGGCCAUGGGGGCUACAGAUGACCUGCAUCCUUUGAGGAGCCCAAGAUGCACAGUCAGGGACCAGCCCAGAAUGGAUGUCACAUCUCACUCUCAGCCUCGUUCUUCCCUCUGCUUCUGAGUUAAGCUGCUUAGAUGUGUAGGUGAUGGAUGCCGCUUUUUCCUGAAAAUCUCAGACCUCUUGGCCUUAGCUCUGGUCCUAGACCAAGAAGCCCUGAAUGCUGGAGAAAACUCUGCUUCCCAAAGCCUCAUCAGUGUGCAAAAAUAAAGCUUAUCUUUCCUGGCA